GAGCGGGGAGGCUGGGGUCUGUGCAGGAGCCUCCUCCCGGCAUGAACAUUUUGAGUAUGCAGAACACAUCUGCUCAGCCCGGAGCCGGCAGUUAGUGCAUACACACACACACACACACACACACCAGCGCUUUCCCCUCAAGUGAGGCGGCAUUAGCAACUGCAGUCCCAGCCUCUUCGGCUGAGGCACCAGCGGCCACUGCCUGAUUUGUUGGAGCAGCGCUGGAGCCCAGUUUCCGAGGGACCUGGGAACACGCUGCUGUCACAGCCAGUGGCAGACAGCCACUUCUUCCCCGCUGCUUCCCUAGCCCUGGCCAGAGGGCAUCCUCUUCCAAAAGCCGGUCAGCCUGGGGAGGAGGUUGCUCCGUGAGGAAGGUAAGACUGCCUCCCAGUCGCUCUCUCCUAACGCCAGCUGUCUCACAGUCCACUUUCAGUGUCAAUUUUGUUUGGACAUCGGUGCUAAGAUGUAAACUGACUGAUCACCCCAGAUAGCUGUCUCACGGCAUCAAUCUAUCGAUUCUCACUGCACGGGGUAAAGAAGAAACCACCGCAUCAGAUAAAUCACAUUUUCACUGGACUGAUUGGACUGAAAAAGCAAAGCUGAAUGAGAAGCUGCUUUUUCUGAAGGAGUGAAGAGGCGGUUGGAACACUUGAUCUUUCCUUCCGGUAAAAGGAUAAAUAGUAUUGCUGCUCCCAAGAAAGCUUAAUUCACAAUGCCCUUCUUGGACACUGAUGGAAAUGUCUAAUUAAGGUAAAAUACAUAUAUAUACACACAUAUUAAUUAAAUUUUAUGCAUGAUUAACGUUCUUAUACCUAUUCUAUACUCAAGUGAUUGUGGUCUGCAGAAACCCACUGACGGGCAAGGGAAAGGAGAAGAGUAAUAACCGUGGUGCUAUUUUCAUUUUCUCUUUAGUCUUGAGGAAAAUCUUGUAAAGUGGCAUUCUCAACAAGCUUCUGUCAGUAGGGUCUGUCACAGUUGGUGGAGGUGACUGGCAUUAGAUGUGCAGAUUUCUUUUGGCUUGAAUGGAUUGGUUUUCUUCCUUGUGAAGCUUUUUUUUUUAAUUUAAUCUUUGGAGAAGCCCAAAGGAGAGGAUUGAACCUUUGUUUGCAAUACCAAAGGAAAGCCCAGCAUUUAGAAAAUCCUUAUAAAUAGGAUUUCCUCUGUUGAACUUGACUGAAAGAGAUUCUAGUUGAACGUGGAAAGGGCUAUAUUUAAGUAGGCAAGUAAAUUCUUUGGUGUAUGGGAGAAAAAACUUUUCCUCUACCCUCUUAGGUUUAGUACUUGAGGCUUGUGAAUUAAACUGACAAAAGACAGAGUAACAGGAGAAAAAAAUUACACGUGCAAAGAGCAUACAUUUGAGAGCGCUCAGCGAUGAGUAAUUCAAAGGAGUGGUUAUACAUUGGGACUUCUGUACCUAAUUUAGUAUUGGAAAGUGAGGGGAAGAAAAAGCUCCUAUGAGAAGAACAAAUAGGUUUCUUUAGGAAAGACAGAUGGGUUUUUUGGGAGAACAAAUGGGAGAUAAGAAAGUUUGUGAUAAAUACUUGUCUAUACAAGUAUGAAUGGUUGGUCUUUUCAUCUUCUUCAGAACCAUAAAACUCCCCAAGAGAUGGCAUUUAAUAGUAGCUUUACCCUUCGUCUUUCUCCUGGGAGCAGACCCACCCCAAAGAGGGAAUUUAAGGCAGUCCUCAUUUCUCAGAAGUUUCUGCUUUUAGUCAAAUAACGGAAGCUCCGUGAAGGACAGCUUCUUUCUGCAUCUGCUGAAUCUCAAGAGUCUUCAAUAAUCUUUAUACCAAAUCUGGGGUUCUGAGUGUGUUCCCACAUUGGCUAUCAGAAGAUAUUUCUGCAUUUGGCUUUUUUGGGGGUUAAGGUUUUACAAUCUGUUAUCUUUUUAGCUUAGAGUAAUCAGUAUUUAGCAGGGCAUGAAUGAAAAUACAAUAUCAUAUUUUUAUAGGAAUUCAUGAGGAUCAUUGGAUAUUCUAUGCUUUUUUAAGUUUUAUUCUUUGGUUUUGAUCACAGCUCAUGUCUGAGAGAGAGAAUUCCCACAGAGACUGUGUGGGAUGUCCCUGUGUUGGUGAUGCUCUCUCAGGUUGCAAAGAAGACAGGACUAGUCCAGUUACAUCAGCUGAUGGGGAAUUACUUUAAAAGUACCGGGAAAAGUAAGGAAACCAUCUGAGCAACAACACAGUCAGGUUUUAUGAAGAAGAGGAAAGACGUUCAGCACAUAAUAGUGACCCUGAGGUGUAGCCAGAACCACUUCAUUUUACUGUACCUUUAUGACUGCUGAGAACCACCUCUGCCUGUAGCGUCUCCAUGCUUGCAACGCAGAGGGAGAUGAGCGUUGCCCUCCAUUCCCACUACUACAGCUGUCUCUGCUUCUGUCUGUCUUGUGGCUUCUGUGUCAUGCUGAAGCGCACACACAUCCAGAUUCUUAACGUAGAAGGAUCAGAUUAAGUUGAUUUGUCACUAUUCCUUGUAGGAUGUCUUAGUUGGAAGAGUCCCUGUGUGAAACAUUCUCUAGGUCCCCAGACUCCCUAAAGUCUAGUCCACCACACAGUUGUUUGUAAGUAGCCGUUGUGCAAACACAGGGUCCACUGAGGUGUGGCCAGGGUAACAAAUCUACAUGGCUUAAACAUGAAAGGUAGAAGAAACAGUCUUUGGCCUCUUUCCUAGGAAGGGGCUGUGGGAAUGUCAGGCACUUGUAGAAGAACUCUCAUUCUUUGGGAUGCUGGGUUUUUUGUUUGAUCAGACUAUUGAUUGCUAAUUCCCUAUGCAUUGCAAUGUCCUUUAGGAACACCAGAAUAGCAGAAUUUCCUUGGUUCAUAUGUGAGAACACGACUGAAACCUGUUCGGACCGGUCCAACAGAAAGGCUGCCAUUGAAUAGGAAAACAAACUUGGACCAUUAAGAAUGAAAGACAAGCUGGGAUUCUAUGCUAUAAGAAGCAACAUAAGAGACAAGCUAAGGAAAGGGAAGGGCACUUGUGAAGGAACCAAAAGGAGAUGCUUGAGAGGAGAAGUGUCCAGGGAAUGAGAUAUAGAUCAUCCCAGGCUUUUCCAUAGGGGAGCAUGAAAGGAACAUGGGAUGUCCUUUUUUAGGACUCAGAGGUCCAGAGUCUGAGAGUAGUCAAUAAAAGGCAACUUGAAUAAGACUCUUGAUUCAUCCACCCCAAAGAAUCAGUGAGUGGCCUAAGAUAGGAGAGAUAUGAGAGGGAAACACAAGAAAGAGAACUGAGUCAGGGAAUUAACGAGUCCUUAGAAGGAAAGUUGUCCCAAUCUCCUCUGCCUCCUUCUACCCAAACUUCUAAUGACUUGGAGUAAUCUAAGGCAGCAAAUUUCCACUUACGCUAAAGUAUUUCUCUAAAAAUCAAGCAAUACCAAGCUUUUUCUUUCACACAAAAAAAUAGGUUAAUAGAUAAAAUGUUCUCAUUUUAAAACUAUCCUCCCUCAGUUUUGUCCUGAAACUUUGGGACCUGCUCUGUUAGAUCUUCCAUGUGUACCUGCCAGGGACCAAAGUGAUAGACAUGUUACAAAUGAUGUUAAUGGAAAGACUCAGAAAUAGGUGAUCAUGCUUAGGUCAUGAUGUAUUUUUUUUAUAGAUUUGGAUUCCUUUGCUCUGGUUUUCUGUUGCGUUUAUACACAGCAAUCUAAUCACAUUUUCUGCUCAUAAAAGUCAUACUUAGUAAAGAUACUGGGAUUAACUGUGUCUUUUGUACUGGGGCUGUGCAAUCAUCAUGGUGUGCUGUGACUUCCAGGUGCUCUGCCACCUGGACAUUGUACAGAACCACUGUUCAGGUCAUAGUUUCCAUAUGUGACUCCCAUGUUUUUACGAACUUUGUUAUUGUUGAUUACGUUUCCCAGACUCUCUUUCUACAGCACUUCACUGUGUUCUCACAUGCAAGAGAGUAUAUUUGCCCGGCAUUUCCAGACAAAGACUUGAGGCUUGCAAUAUGAUAGCCUAUAGGUCACCCAAGGCCACCAAGAUGCAUGAUAAACUCAAGAAAAUGCCAACUCAAUGACUUGCCCGGAAUGUUCAGGAGAUGACGCCUCCUUCUGGGGAGCCAGAUGGCAAAUGAACGAUCUGCUGAUGCUUUUACAAAAUGGAGGUGAAAAACACUUCAUGACCAGUUGACUAGGCCUAGAAAAGGGACUGGAGAGUUGGUCAAAAGUAUUUAUUAAGCACUUGUCACAUGCUUUAGGAAUAAGGUCAGCUGAGGAGGAAGGUCUCCAGGCUGAUCUUUUCAAUCAGAUGAGCCAGUUUGUGAGAGGAGGAAGACAAGAUGGGAAUCACGUCAAGAAGCCUCCAAAUUAAUGACUUGGGUAAAAGUUCUCCACCACAGACAUCUGGAUGGUGAAAUCCACGUCUUAACUCAGGGAACUGGCUUGCCUAGAUGGCUAAUGCCAGAAGUCAGUUUUCCAAAGACUGGCUAGAAAGAGAGAAAUUUUAUCUGGGUAGCCAAACCAUGGAGCUCUAAACCAAAGUCCUUGAGAGAUGGUGAGGUGUUGAGAACAUAAACCAAAUACGAACUCUAAGUCUGAAGGGCAACACUUCUCUUAAGAAGGCAGAAAGAAGAGGCAGAGCCAAGGGUCAGAAAUAAAAUGUCUAAAAUUUAUGGAGCACUUGCCAUCUAACUACCAGGCACUGUUCAUUAUGUACACAUGUUAACUCGUUUAAAUGAGAAUGAUACUAAUAUCAUCCCUAUCUUGCAGAGGACAAAAUUGAGGCACAAA